AGCGCGCCUCAAGCACGUAAAAGCACAACUCAGAAAAAAUCCAAAACAUUUCAAGUACAAUGACAGCAUGGUAUGCAAAAAACACUACAAUAAUAAUACAUCUAUGUCCUACCCAAGUCCUCUCAUUUACAAUCGCUUUAAGCAAAGUUCUAAUGCAAAUUGACCAACUUCGCCACUAAAAGAACGAUCGUCUUGAAAUACGAGACAGUGUUGUGGAUUGUAUAUUACGGCUCAGACGCAAUCCCAGACAUUCCGCGGUAGAAUUGGAGCAGAGUGCAACCCGCCAUGCGCCAUUUAGCCAUGAUUAUUUGGUUGGCUCUACUGACCGUCUUCCCUUCGCUCGGUCCACCAGUAGUCUCGCAAACAACACCAUACCCAGCAAACGUGACAAGAGAACCAGCAAACAUGACGAUGGCUCCAACAACAAGAGAACUAGCAAACAUAACGAUGGCUACAACAGCAAGAGGACAAUUAUUACUAAACAUGACAACAAGUUCAAGUGUUACGAGACUAAUUGCACCCAAGGGGUGGCUGAGUGCCAAGUGGUAUGCAAGGACUCCUUCAUGGGUCUACCUGUGGUCCCGGACAGGUGCACGACUGCCAGAGUGUCCACAAGGCAAAGACCAGGAGAGAUAAUCACUCUCAAGCGAUGCGCUCAUUCCACUAUUUGUGAAGAAGAAAGAACACUGUGUAUCAUGGCCGAGAGACUGGCAGGGGGGGUCCUAGCAUCCUGCUCUGCUGGGUGUUGCCGCGGAAGUCUAUGUAAUGUCGGUGACGCAAUUCCCAGUCAACCUACAACAGAUGCAUCAACCUUCGAUCCAACAACGCAUCCAUCGAGCAAAGGUAAGUGUGGUAGCGGAACAGCCAAGUAUUGACGACUUUGGUUUUGAUCGUAAUUUCUCGUGAGAAUCUUUUACCUUUGCUUCAUGAAAGACUUGUUAUCCUAAAUCACAAUAACUACGUAAUAGUUACUGAUCAAGGUUAAACCUUUUAUUUGGUAUCUUGCAGCUAGUCGAUAUAAUUUUCGUGAUCAAAGUUAAGGAGUUAUAUUUGUUUAUCAUAACAAAAAUAACCUUCAACAAAAAACAGUCGCUGAAUUCAAACAAUACUUUAUGAAGACUGUUUGUGUGUUUGUUGUUAACUACACCCAUUGCAGAGCAAAAUGGAAAUGUUGUCGAUCUUCGCAACAUUACCCAACAUGGUGCACAUUAAGCACAGCAUUGCUGUGCUCAGUAAUGUUGUGUGUGUUUUUCAGCAAUGUUGGCGGUGUUUACACGGGACAACAUCGGUGCAACAUUGCUGGAACAACUUGUGUAUUCGACCACAAUCCAAAAGAUGCUUCCUUGGUGUUACAACAACACUUUAUUACUAGACACAGCAUUUUUCGUAGCCGCCUCCGCAAACAUCUUUAUUUCCUUUUUGGGAAUCCUGUGGGAAAGAAGAGCGAAAUUUACUCGUCCCAGUCACCUUUCCUCAACACAGGAAGCCCUGUCAUCUUGAAAGAAAUCAAUAAAAGAGAUGGGUGUGGAGCUACAUUUUCCUCUGUAAUACUGCGUUAUUUGUACCUUAUGUUACGACACGAUAAGGAUUCAUAUUCUAUGUGAAAAUAAAAACUGCAUUGAUAUCCUCUAAAAAGGGACAGAAAGAAGGGGAAAGCAUCGGGAUUUUUUCGAGUAAAAUCGAUAAACAGCCCGUCAACUCGUUUCCCUCUUUGGUAGAUCUGACAAGUGUCACUUCUUCCAACAUCAUCAUUUUAAAUAGCUAUCCCAAUUUUUCUGCCAUUCAACAGUCAAUUCGUUUAUAUAUUUGAUUAUAUACUAAUACCCUUUUUUUUCUUCCUAUAUCUCGGAUAUAUGGCGGCUCACAUCUGCGAAGACACAGCCUUGGUGGCCUUGGGUGUUAUCGAACAGACGGUAUACAAGUGAUCACUUUUAUAUCAUUUGACAGAAGGCCAAUAGAAUUUAUCAUUAUGCACAAAGGUUAAAAUGAAGCAGUUUCAAUCAGUGUAUUUAGGAAGUACAAGAUAUACAAGCCUUUUUUUAAAUAAUAUGUUGAUGAUGUAGAAGAAAAACGUUUAAUUGAUUUAUUUAUUCUUCUGUAAAAAAAACCUUUAAAUUCUACUGUGCUUGUUACGAGAAUCUAUAAAAACAACACAAUUCCUCGGCUUUUACUGCAACUCAA